rnacentral:rRNA from 1 species
GGAUGAACGCUGGCGGCGUGCUUAACACAUGCAAGUCGAACGGACUCGUAUUGAAACCUAGUGAUAUAUGAGUUAGUGGCGGACGGGUGAGUAACGCGUGGAUAACCUGCCGUAUACAGGGGGAUAACACUUAGAAAUAGGUGCUAAUACCGCAUAAGCGCACAGCUUUGCAUGAAGCAGUGUGAAAAGCAAAAAGUUAAAACUUUUAGCGGUAUACGAUGGAUCCGCGUCUGAUUAGCCAGUUGGCGGGGUAACGGCCCACCAAAGCGACGAUCAGUAGCCGGCCUGAGAGGGCGGACGGCCACAUUGGGACUGAGACACGGCCCAGACUCCUACGGGAGGCAGCAGUGGGGAAUAUUGCACAAUGGGGGAAACCCUGAUGCAGCGACGCCGCGUGAGUGAAGAAGUAAUUCGUUACGUAAAGCUCUAUCAGCAGGGAAGAAAAUGACGGUACCUGAGUAAGAAGCCCCGGCUAACUACGUGCCAGCAGCCGCGGUAAUACGUA